rnacentral:rRNA from 1 species
GAUAAACGCUGGCGGUGUACAUAAGACAUGCAAGUCGAACGGGAGAAGACAGGAAGAUUUAUCUACUUGUUGGACACCGUGGCGGACGGGUGAGUAACACGUAAGCAACCUGCCUAUAAGAGGGGAAUAACAGUGAGAAAUUACUGAUAAUACCGCAUAAGCUGGAGGUAUCGCAUGAUACAUUCAGAAAAGAUUUAUCGCUUAUAGAUGGGCUUGCGUCUGAUUAGCUAGUUGGUGAGAUAACAGCUCACCAAGGCGACGAUCAGUAGCCGGAUUGAGAGGUUGAACGGCCACAUUGGGACUGAGACACGGCCCAGACUCCUACGGGAGGCAGCAGUCGGGAAUAUUGCACAAUGGAGGAAACUCUGAUGCAGUGACACCGCGUAUAGGAAGAAGGUCUUAGGAUUGUAAGCUAUUGUCGUGUAAAAAGA